ACGAGUGGCGGACGGGUGAGUAAUGUCUGGGAAACUGCCUGACGGAGGGGGAUAACUACUGGAAACGGUAGCUAAUACCGCAUAACGUCGCAAGACCAAAGAGGGGGACCUUCGGGCCUCUUGCCAUCGGAUGUGCCCAGAUGGGAUUAGCUAGUAGGUGGGGUAACGGUUCACCUAGGCGACGAUCCCUAGCUGGUCUGAGAGGAUGACCAGCCACACUGGAACUGAGACACGGUCCAGACUCCUACGGGAGGGCAGCAUG
rnacentral:rRNA from 1 species